GAGCAGCAUCACUAAGUGAACCCUAUGAACCAAAGGAGAUGGCUGUGAAAAUGAUGCCUGCAGUCACACAAGGAGCAAGAGGGACAAACAGACAGUCACCUGCAGACCCUGGAGAGUAAUAGAAAAUUGCUUGACAUUUGAGGAGAGAGAAAAAACUGCAUGAAUGCUCCACCCUCACCACAGUAACCUGGAAGGAGAGUUCCCAGCCGUGCAUCACCGCUCUGCAGUCAAAAGCUUGCUGCUAGAACUGAGUGCCUGGAAGACCAAGUCACCUAUGCAGCAAAUGCAAACAUCUCUGAGGGACAUCCCCUCUGCUGUGGCUCAGGGGGGAGGCUUGUAUCCCUGAAGUACGGUGUGCUUCUGGUUUGGGGUUGGGAGCAGCAGGACAUGGGCAGCCAAAGGAGGAGCAAAGGCAGUUUCACACAACACAUGCACCGAAUGGCCGCCACUCCUGUGGGAGGUUAGGAGAUGAAAUAGCCUGAUUCACAGGCUUUACAAUAAACUCCAUCUUCCGUGUAA